rnacentral:rRNA from 1 species
CCAGACUCCUACGGGAGGCAGCAGUGGGGAAUAUUGCACAAUGGGCGCAAGCCUGAUGCAGCGACGCCGCGUGAGGGAUGACGGCCUUCGGGUUGUAAACCUCUUUCAGCAGGGGAGAAGCGAAAGUGACGGUACCUGCAGAAGAAGCGCCGGCUAACUACGUGCCAGCAGCCGCGGUAAUACGUAGGGCGCGAGCGUUGUCCGGAAUUAUUGGGCGUAAAGAGCUUGUAGGCGGUUUGUCGCGUCUGCUGUGAAAGCCCGGGGCUUAACCCCGGGUUUGCAGUGGGUACGGGCAGACUAGAGUGCAGUAGGGGAGACUGGAAUUCCUGGUGUAGCGGUGAAAUGCGCAGAUAUCAGGAGGAACACCAAUGGCGAAGGCAGGUCUCUGGGCUGUAACUGACGCUGAGAAGCGAAAGCAUGGGGAGCGAACAGGAUUAGAUACCCUGGUAGUCCAUGCCGUAAACGUUGGGCACUAGGUGUGGGGAACAUUCCACGUUUUCCGCGCCGUAGCUAACGCAUUAAGUGCCCCGCCUGGGGAGUACGGCCGCAAGGCUAAAACUCAAAGAAAUUGACGGGGGCCCGCACAAGCGGCGGAGCAUGCGGAUUAAUUCGAUGCAACGCGAAGAACCUUACCAAGGCUUGACAUAUACUGGACCGCCUCAGAGAUGGGGUUUCCCUUCGGGGCUGGUAUACAGGUGGUGCAUGGUUGUCGUCAGCUCGUGUCGUGAGAUGUUGGGUUAAGUCCCGCAACGAGCGCAACCCUCGUUCUAUGUUGCCAGCACGUAAUGGUGGGGACUCAUAGGAGACUGCCGGGGUCAACUCGGAGGAAGGUGGGGAUGACGUCAAAUCAUCAUGCCCCUUAUGUCUUGGGCUUCACGCAUGCUACAAUGGCCGGUACAAAGGGUUGCGAUACUGUGAGGUUGAGCUAAUCCCAAAAAGCCGGUCUCAGUUCGGAUUGGGGUCUGCAACUCGACCCCAUGAAGUCGGAGUCGCUAGUAAUCGCAGAUCAGCAACGCUGCGGUGAAUACGUUCCCGGGCCUUGUACACACCGCCCGUCAAGUCACGAAAGUUGGUAACACCCGAAGCCGAUGGCCUAACCCCUUGUGGGAGGGAGUCGUCGAAGG